rnacentral:rRNA from 1 species
AUGGCUAUGGAGGACGUCGAGUGGCAGUGGCAGUCGCUCCCGCUUCUGCUCCGAGUGUAUCAACGGCGUCGUCAGCCAUCGACCCCUCCAUUUGGGGCUUGCUGGAGGUACGAGAUGCAUUUCGUCCAUCUCAUCGCUAAAAUAUUUGUUGAAGCUGCAAGUCUGAUUAAUCAACCCAUUCCACCAAUGUUGUUUCAGUAUUUGAAAUGCUUUUGUUUUAAUUGUGUUUUUGCACUGACAUUCAGUACAAGUAGUAGAACAGAGUGCCAACUGCCAAGCAUAUUAGACAUACAUAAUUGCUGCUAA